rnacentral:misc_RNA from 1 species
UCCCGGUUGGCCCGGGCAGUCUCGUAUGAAAAAUUCAACAUACGACAAGGGUUGCGCUCGUUGCGGGACUUAACCCAACAUCUCACGACACGAGCUGACGACGGCCAUGCAACACCUGUCACUGGGCUCCCGAAGGCACUCCCUUGUUUCCAAGGGAUUCCCAGGAUGUCAAGCCUCGGUAAGGUUCUACGCGUAGCUUCGUAUUAAACCACAUGCUCCACCGCUUGUGCGGGCCCCCGCCAAUUCCUUUGAGUUUUAAGCUUGCGCUCGUACUCCCCAGGCGGGAUGCUUAACGCGUUAGCUUCUCAACGCAGAGGGUCGAUACUCUACAUUAAUAGCAUCCAUCGUUUACGGCGUGGACUAC